CUGAUUGGCAACCCGGAACACAUGUGCCCACCCAGUUUGCCAAUCAGGGACAGGUGAGGGUCACAGCGCUCGGGCCAGAAGAGUGGAACUAAAAUAAAAGGAAACGCAUUAAGAAAUAGGGAAUUAUGCAAAGUAAAUCAAAAUUAAAUUAUUUUCUUAAACGUUUAGUCAUGUUUCCCUACCCUGCGGAAUAUUCCACAAGUCACAGGAAGUUGCAUCCUUCAGACCCUCUGCAGGCAACGGCAAUAACAAAAACAUUCUUCCGUAAUCUCGUCUCGUCCGUGCUUCCACCUCCAACAGAGCUUUGGGAACGCCGCAAACUCACCUUCUCAUGCACGCCUCCUUGGCCAUUAGCUACAGUCUGAGAUCCGAAGCAUGCGGGUCUCAGGUUGGGAAGGAAGUGGGAGCAAAACACCAGCUUGUAUACAGCGAUGGCGAUGUGUCAUGUUCGGAGUCCAAAUUGUGCAAAAGCUGCAAGAAUGGGAAUCAAUGAGAGUUUCUUCGCUGAGUCAGCCUCCAGAAAUCCUUUUGAAAAGUUCAACUGCAGAGUGUCAUUCAAAGAGAACGGGGAUUGAUUUAAUAUGCACAUACAGAUUGUCUGCUUGGAAAUACAUACGUUGAAUGGUUGCUGUUUUUUUAAUACUUAUUGGAGUUUCGAAGGAACACAUGUACAAACCCCAAAAGCAGUGAUGUUGUCACGUUGU